GAUGAACGCUGGCGGCGUGCCUAAUACAUGCCAGUCGAGCGAACGGACGAGAAGCUUGCUUUUCUGAUGUUAGCGGCGGACGGGUGAGUAACACGUGGAUAACCUACCUAUAAGACUGGGAUAACUUCGGGAAACCGGAGCUAAUACCGGAUAAUAUUUUGAACCGCAUGGUUCAAAAGUGAAAGACGGUCUUGCUGCCACUUAUAGAUGGAUCCGCGCUGCAUUAGCUAGUUGGUAAGGUAACGGCUUACCAAGGCAACGAUGCAUAGCCGACCUGAGAGGGUGAUCGGCCACACUGGAACUGAGACACGGUCCAGACUCCUACGGGAGGCAGCAGUAGGGAAUCUUCCGCAAUGGGCGAAAGCCUGACGGAGCAACGCCGCGUGAGUGAUGAAGGUCUUCGGAUCGUAAAACUCUGUUAUUAGGGAAGAACAUAUGUGUAAGUAACUGUGCACAUCUUGACGGUACCUAAUCAGAAAGCCACGGCUAACUACGUG
rnacentral:rRNA from 1 species